GCAACCGCUGAUGGGGAAAAGGGUGGGAAGGGGGAGAGAGUUGCUUUUCUUCUACCAGCUUGACAACGAGAGAUCUGUGUCCUCUGCACUGAAGUGGAAUCGAUUUUCCAUCACGGGUCACAGUUUUGGUGGGAUUGUUGCAGGCAUGUUCUCGUGUAUUUUCCCUGAAAUGGUGGACAAGCUGAUCCUGGUAGAAACCUACGGCUUUCACCCAGCACCUGAGGUUAUUAAAAUCAAACAACCACCUAACAGAAGAGAGUGCAAAGAUAUUGUUGCAGCGAGGGGCUACUGAAGUGGAGGGAGGUAAGACAUCAAUACAGAGAAUUGGCUGUUGUGAUGCACUGAACCUGCCAUUAGGGGAGGAGAGCUUGGUGGUAGAACAUACUUUAGGCCCCAGGUUUAAUGGCUAGCAUCUUGAGUUAAAAAAUCUCUCUGGUGGUAGGGAAUGUAGCAGUCUUGCUAAGAGGCAUCAGAGCUGUCAGUUGUGUUAGUGGCUACCUAGACCAGUGAUCUGACUCUGCCUAAGGAUGUCAGAUGACCUAGCACAGUGACUAGCACAUUCUGUGGUUAAAUAUUCAGUACUGAUGUUGUUUGUUUUAUAGUACUUAUAUGCUGUCUUUCAAGACAAAAUUCUUCCAAGGCAAUUUAUAGAAGACAACUGAAAGCAUAAAAUCUUAUUUUUAAAAAAUGCAAACAAAUCAGUUAUGAAACUGAAAAACAGCAAGUUUGUAACCAACAAGUUUACUAAGGUCUAUUAUGAAAAACUGGUUGAGAAGAGGCCAUAGAAACUAUUUAUGCCUCUUGGGGUGCCCCUACUUUUCAGGCCUUUGUCUCUAGUGCUCACCAGUUUGAUCAUGAUUCUGUGAGCAGGGCUUCAGAGGCCAAUCUUAAGGUCCACACACAUUUGUACAGGUGCUGGCAUAACUUCAAAUAACCUUGCCCCAAACAGUUUUAUAUAGUUUUACAUUUUACCACCAGCUCUUUAAAUUGUGCCUGGGAAUAAAUAGGCAGCCAAUGCAGCAGGUAUCUGAAUGCCUGGUUUCCAGAAACAUCCUAGGGCUGCAUUCUACACCAACUAAAUUUCUGGACCAUAUUUAAAGGCAACAUAGAGCCCAUUACAGUCGUCUAGUCUGGAGUAUAACCAGAGUAUGAGUAACUGAGGCAAACUCCACAUUCUGUUGAUAGGGUCACAGCUGGCAAACCAAUCUAAGCUGGUAGAAUGCCCACCUAGCCACUAGCACCAUCUGUGAGGUCUCCAUAGAUAGUGUCAAGUCCAGGAGGUACCCCCCUCCCAUUACAAAAGUGGUCUUCCAGAACAGGCAGCAUUCAUCUCCCCAGGUCUUUAAAUUUUAAUCUUCCUAGCUAUGACAUUCAAUCCAGUUUACCAUUUAUAGUAACUUCCCUCUCUCCUGGGUUAAAGAGAAAUGGAAGAAAGUUUGUACAAAAUGUGGGAUGUAGUUCUUUUCUUUCUCUAGGUUUGGUGUAUAACAGAGAUAUAAGACUCCUUGCAGUGAGUUUUGCUCUAGUUUAUGUACCUCCCCUUGUAUUUUUCAUUUACCCAAAGGGUAUCUAACCAUGGAAACAGUAUGCUUGAUAUAGACAAAUUAGGCCAAGUGUGGGAAACCUUUAGCCCUCCAACUGUGGCUGAAGUACAACUCCCAUCAUCCCUGGUAAUUGGCCAUGCUUGCUGGUGUGGAUGGGAGUUGUAGUUCAGCAAAAACUGGAGGUCCUCCACACCUGAAUUGUGAAUGCCUUAAACAUGUUGGUACCUCAGCCCGUUUCCUCAAUCUCAGCUGUCAAAGGAAUUGCUAUGAGAGCUUUUGCUGGCUAGAUGCCAGCAUACUGGAAUAUUUAAUUUCCACCUAUUUCUGGCUGUCCUACAGGGCUCUUCUGAAGAUGUGCAUUUUUGUAAAACAAUUUGUACAUUAAAAAAAUGCUAUUGAAACACAUGAUAGGUGUGCCUAGGACUGUGUGUACUGUGCAAUCCUAUACAACAGCUGCAUCAUCUGAGAACCUGAAUGAUAUUUGAGGUUUGGCAUUUAAUAGGAAGUAAAUACCAGGUUUUCCUUGGCAUUGUCUGUAUAGGAGGCUGGGUCCAAUGUCCUGCAGGACCCUGCAGACUUGUGUAGCGGAACGGAGAGUAUUGAGCGAGCUUAUGUGUGUGUGUUUGAAUCUUUGCUAAGAUUCUACCUUCCCUGUAAAUUAGUCAGACAGAGGCUUUAAGCUUUAAAAUAAGAAACAACUACUUUAUUCUGGAAGUACAUGUUUGAUAGGAAAGAGUCCUAUAUCUAGCUAACUAGCUAAGUUGGAGCAAUGAGCACUGCGCCCAGUGCUCGCCCUCAUGCUGGAUAAGAGGGAGAGACAAAGGAAAGAUGUCUGCUCCCCUCGCGAGAAAGAAGACGACUGGAAGGAGGGAAGGAACUGAGAUCAACAUCCUUCUGCAUAUCAGUCUAGCAGGAAGAGAAGAGACAGGAGGAGAUCAAAGAGAUAGGUAUAGCCUAGCAACCAAGAGGUCUCCUCUCUAGCUACGUCUUUACCCCCAUGCAACCUCAACCCACAAGUUGAAGUUGAACCUCAUACAUUCCAACAGUCUGAAUCCUGGAAAGCCAUCACCAGCCAAUAGCUGAUUCCGAGCUAGAAGGUGGCUUUUUACGUUUCGUGAUCUGUCAUGCUUUUCUCCCCCCUUGUACUUGCCUGGUGGAACACACUGCCUAUUGAAGUUAGAUGGGCUCUGACACAGUACACAUUUUGUCAGAUGCUAAAAACUCAAGAUUUCUACAGGUUUCCCAGAAGAUGAGCUGACUUGAGUACAAUAUUCAACUUGUUGGGAGAACUGUUUCUAACUGUUCUGUUUUUGUUGUUGUAUGGUAUUUGGUACUGUUUAGCAUUUUACAAAUAUUUCAGAUAAUAAAAAACAAGCAAAAUGCACAAAUAUUUAAGGCACACAAAACACUCCCAAAAUUAUCUGUAUUAAAAUCAAUAGCACAUUGAGGCACAUGAAAAAGCAAAUGAAUGCUGUGAUAAAAUUUUGAGUGUGUCCUCAUAAGAUACCCAAACACUUUUUCAUUUAAGCCUAACAGCAAAAAUAGUAUAACCUGAAGGGCUCACCAUGCAUCAGAAAAUUCAUGUAAUUCCCUCAAUUUCCAAUGUUCAGGGAUUAGUGCUAUUGCUUAUAUGGCCAAAACAGCGCCAUUCAUGUACAUGAGAUAUCAGUAGGCUUGGAGGAAGCCCAGUUUGCAAAAGUUCAUUUUUUUAAAGAAACAACCCCCUAAAUGGCAGAAUGUCUCCCUGCCCCAAAAAACCCAGCCUACUGAAGACUGAGUGUAUUUAGUGGCCACAGAAUGUUGGCUGACUGGAAGAGGGUAAGAUACACUGACUAAAACAGUAAACAGGGCACUCCAUGCUGCACCAUUGUGUUGCAGUUUCCCACAAAUGCAAGACAAUUUCUAGUGUACUGCCCCCCUUUCUCCUUGUCUGUUAUCAAGCUUUGAAGACACCUAUUAUUCACCUUUUUUAUAGCAAAAUACAGGAAUACCCCGCAUUAACAUACACAAUGGGACCGGAGCAUGUAUGUAAAGUGAAAAUGUACUUAAAGUGAAGCACUACUUUUUUUUCACUUAUCGAUGCAUGUACCUCACUACAAUCGUCAUAUACGGGCAAAACUGAUGUAAAUAGCGCAUUUAUAACUAAAAUAAACAUAAAAUAAAAUAAACCCUUCAUGAAAAAGGGUAAGCUUACCGUUAAUGUCAGCUGGCAGACGCGAAAUGGAUGAACGAAAAUUCACAUGUAUUGUAGGAAGGAUGAAGGAGAGGGCAUAUCUUCUACUUCAUAAGUCGAGUCAUCAAGGUCUAGACGCUUUCUUGCUGGCGAUUUGGAUGGACUACCUGAAGUAGAAGUAGGGCUUGGGGCUGAUGUCGAUGCUAGAGAUGGACUUUCAGUGGAUGUUGAUGGUCUGGGAGAUUGACUGGGUGCUGCUGGCCUUUAACGAAAGUAGGUGUCUAAGGAGGUUUGAACUGUAGCUCUUUUCUUUUCCCUGUAUAUUUCUUUGUAACAGGCAUAAGCCCCCAAAAUGUUAGCAUUGACUUUGGAACUUCUUUCAAAGUCCCUAUCAUGCUUUUCAAAAAGAGCCAUGGCGCUAUGAAGAUGAUGGAAAGCUUCCAAGAGAAUUUUUGAAGUUAGGCCUUCAGGCUGUUCCAUGGUCUCAUCCUCAUCCGGCACAUUUUCUUCUUCUCUCUCCUCUUCAAGUUCCAGAAGAUCUUCAUUGCUGAGGGGUUCAGUAUGGGACACCAUAAGUUCAGCAACAUCUUCUGGCUCCACUUCCAGCUCUAACUGCCUUGCCAUCUCUACAAUAUUUUCAGUAACAUUAGCUACAUAAUCUUCAAAGGCUUCGACAUCAUCAACAAACUGUGGGCAUAAUUUUUUCCAGGCCCCUUUCAUUGUUGUUUCCUUGAUGUCAUUCCAAGCAUCUCUUAUAGUUUUGAUGCAAUCCAAGAUGUCGUAGCUUUUCCAGAACUUCUUUAGGACUUCUUGCCCUGUCCCCUCUUCAUUGUCUAUUGCUGCAAUACACUUACUGAAGGUUCUUUUCAAGUAGUUCAACUUGAAGGUGGCUAUGACACAUUGAUCCAUGGGCUGCAGGAGUGAGGUGGUAUUCGGUGGUAGGAAUUCCACUCGAAUGUUAGGGUUCAGUUCAUCUAACGUUUGAGGGUGGCCAGGAGCAUUGUCUACAAGGAGCAAAAUGUUAAAAGGGAUAUUGUUGUCCUUGCAAUAGGCUUUCACCUCUGGUACAAAGCAGGUGUCAAACCAAUCUUUGAAAACGGCUGGUCGCCCAUGCUUUUCUAUUAGACCUCUAAUGCACUGGAAGUCUAGUUUUAACGUAGUUCUUCAAAGCUCUAGGGUUUUGCCAACGAUAAAUUAGCAUAGGCUUUAGCUUUAGGGUACCAGAAGCAUUGCCACCUAACAGAAGGGUUAUUCUUUCUUUAGCUGGCUUGUAGCCUGGCAUUGUUUUCUCCUCUUGCGAUGAAGGUUCUUGCAGGCAUCUUUUUCCAGAACAGCCCAGUCUCAUCCACAUUAAAAAUUUGUUCCUUGGAGUAGCCUCCCUCUUCAAUAAUUUUGGCAAGGUCGUGUGGAUAGCUUUCUGCAGCCUCAGUAUCUGCAGCAGCUGCCUCUCCUUGCGCUUUGAUGUUAUGUAGGUUAGACCUCUUCUUGAACCUAUCAAACCAUCCACGGCUUGCAACAAAUUCGGCAUCCUUCGCUGCCUCACCUUUCUUAGCCUUCAGGUCAUUGAAUAGGCUUAAGGCCUUACUUUGAAUCAUUGCCUGGCGUGCAGUCUGAUUUUCUAUCCAAACUAUUUAAGAGUCUUUCCAUGUCUGCAACAACGCUAUCCCUUUUUCUAAUUUUUGUUGUGUUCACUGGCGUAGCAUUCUUAACUUCCGCAAUAAUUUUUUCUUUGCUCUUCAUGACCGUGUUAACUGUAGUUCGAGUGAAGCCUAGCCUUUGGCCUGUCUCAGCUUGAGAAACACCUUCAUCAGACAGUUUAAUCAUUUUAAGCUUUGUAUCUAAGGUAAUAGAUUUACGACUUUUCUUUGUAUCUGCCAUUAUAUACUGUAAUACUGUACUGUACUGAAGGCAAGGGAAAACAAUACCAAUACACACACACACCCCACACACACGGUAGUCACAAGCCAGCAGUGGCAAAAGCCAGAACUAAUGAUGGGCAGAGACAGAGAGAAAAGUAUUCAAUUAAAGCAGGAAAGGAAGAUGGGACAAUGGAGAGGUAUAAAAUGAAAUCAGGGGGAUCUAAAGAAUUUUUUUAUCACAAUCAAUUAAAGCAGGAAAGGAAGAUGGGACAAUGGGAGACAAUGGAGAGGUAUAAAAUGGGACAAUGGAGAGGUAUAAAAUGAAAUCAGGUGAUCUACAGUAAAGAGCAUGAGGUGUCCCCCCCACACACACACACACUGCCGCCACUGACCUAGGCCGGGGCAGGCAGAGCUCCGAUCGCUCUGUACUGUACUGUACUGUAGUAACAAUUUACUGUAAACAAUUUAAAGAAGAUCUUUACUGUAGAAACGAGAACCUUCAGGUCAGCAGUCGCUCAGAGUUGCUCUGAACCCUAUGGGAGACGAUGCUUCGCAACGCACGUGGCACGUGGAACACAAGUUUGGGCGUGCUGUCAGUGUCCGUAAUUGCAAAGCGUGCGUACUUUAAGUGGGGUAUGGUGGAGUUUGGAGCAUGGCCGUAAUCACGAGGGUCCGUUAAACGAAGGUACGUAAAUCGGGGUAUUCCUAUAUUAUGUAUUUCCUUAGCUCAUUUAUGCUUGUAGCAACUUAUGUGGUAACAUAGACCAAAGGACAUCCCAAGGCCAGAUAGUGGCAACAACAAUACCAUUUAUCGAGCACUCCCUAUUUCCCCCCUGCCAAACAGAUGAUUGGCAGCAGAGGAGAAAGGGGGUGCCUGCCCCAUAUCUGUCUCCUCCAGUACAGAAUAAAGGGGCAGCGUAGCAGUGGGUUGAUUUUCAGGAAUGCAUGCAAAUUGUUGGGCUGUAUAAGAAAUCCCAUGUGUUAAGAAACAACUAAUCUUGUCUGUCUGACUUGCUUAUCUGUCACUUUCAUAUAUAGCACAGCCACGUUUUUUUAUCUCUGGACUGAUGUCUCAACUUCUUGAAAAAAAUUGAGGCUGAUGUACUGGUGAUCAUAGCACAAACUGGGAUUUUUACCAGGAACACUGCAGCUAGCCCUCUGUACUAUGCAAAGCCACUGCAGCAAGCAUUGAAAACCUACCUAAAAGAGCGUUUCCUCCAUGUCAAAGUUGCUGGCAAUCAUUUUGUCCACCUGAAUGAGCCUCAGGUUGUGUUUGAGAUCAUCAACACCUUCUUAAACAAGGACAGGAGCCCCAAAGCCAGACUGUAAGCAGCAUCCCCACCCUACCGGCAGAUGGAUUCAUUAGGAAGAUUCAGCCCUUCUUGAAAGAGAAUGGUGCAGUUGAACUAUCUGCAGGAGUAAAUCUUGUGGCAUAGCGCCGACAACUUGCACAAGGAAUAACUUGACAUUUAGCAUGAACUGUUCUGUUUCUGCUGAAUGGUUCAGCCAGAUUCAGUUCCUCGUGAAUGCCAUGGUCUAGUUAAACAUAAAGCAAAGGGGUGGGUG